CAUAUAUUUCUGCUCUUAUUUUCUAUAAUUCCUGUCGUGGUCCCACUGGUUUGGACGGUUGUCUUGGUUUCUUGGAUCUGUUCCAUCAAUUUCCAAGUCAUAUCCAUACAUUUAAAGCUUUAGACUCUCACGGCUAUCCACGAUGUAAAGAGCAACUUGAUUUAUUUCUAUGGAGCAGAUAUCUCCACUUUGCAUUUGGUUGGGAUGGUGCCAUGAUGUCUUUAAAACAAGAAUAGGAGUGGGGAAAUUGAUGCAGUCGGCCUAAGAUAAUAGGUGAUUUUGAGCCAUUAGAUGUGAGUUUGCUAUAAUUAUACAAAGAUCUGUCUCAAACAGAUUACGCGGAUGCCCUAACAAAUAUAUUUAUAGACUAGUGAGAUAGAUUAAGGCCUAGAAAGAUCUAGUCAUGCUAGAUCAAAAUAACAGUUCAAAUAGGUCAUGACUUUUAAUUUGAUUGUUGAAUCGCAUUCAAAUAUUUACAGGAA